AGCGGCGGACGGGUGAGUAAUGUCUGGGAAACUGCCUGAUGGAGGGGGAUAACUACUGGAAACGGUAGCUAAUACCGCAUAACGUCGCAAGACCAAAGUGGGGGACCUUCGGGCCUCAUGCCAUCAGAUGUGCCCAGAUGGGAUUAGCUAGUAGGUGAGGUAAUGGCUCACCUAGGCGACGAUCCCUAGCUGGUCUGAGAGGAUGACCAGCCACACUGGAACUGAGACACGGUCCAGACUCCUACGGGAGGCAGCAGUGGGGAAUAUUGCACAAUGGGCGCAAGCCUGAUGCAGCCAUGCCGCGUGUAUGAAGAAGGCCUUCGGGUUGUAAAGUACUUUCAGCGAGGAGGAAGGCGUUAAGGUUAAUAACCUUGACGAUUGACGUUACUCGCAGAAGAAGCACCGGCUAACUACGUGCCAGCAGCCGCGGUAAUACGUAGGGUGCAAGCGUUAAUCGGAAUUACUGGGCGUAAAGCGUGCGCAGGCGGUUUUGUAAGUCUGAUGUGAAAUCCCCGGGCUCAACCUGGGAAUUGCAUUGGAGACUGCAAGGCUAGAAUCUGGCAGAGGGGGGUAGAAUUCCACGUGUAGCAGUGAAAUGCGUAGAUAUGCGGAGGAACACCGAUGGCGAAGGCAGCCCCCUGGGUCAAGAUUGACGCUCAUGCACGAAAGCGUGGGGAGCAAACAGGAUUAGAUACCCUGGUAGUCCACGCCCUAAACGAUGUCUACUAGUUGUCGGGUCUUAAUUGACUUGGUAACGCAGCUAACGCGUGAAGUAGACCGCCUGGGGAGUACGGUCGCAAGAUUAAAACUCAAAGGAAUUGACGGGGACCCGCACAAGCGGUGGAUGAUGUGGAUUAAUUUCGAUGCA
rnacentral:rRNA from 1 species